rnacentral:rRNA from 1 species
UGGGGAAUAUUGGACAAUGGGCGCAAGCCUGAUCCAGCCAUGCCGCGUGAGUGAUGAAGGCCCUAGGGUUGUAAAGCUCUUUCAACGGUGAAGAUAAUGACGGUAACCGUAGAAGAAGCCCCGGCUAACUUCGUGCCAGCAGCCGCGGUAAUACGAAGGGGGCUAGCGUUGUUCGGAUUUACUGGGCGUAAAGCGCACGUAGGCGGAUCGUUAAGUGAGGGGUGAAAUCCCAGGGCUCAACCCUGGAACUGCCUUUCAUACUGGCGAUCUGGAGUUCGAGAGAGGUGAGUGGAAUUCCGAGUGUAGAGGUGAAAUUCGUAGAUAUUCGGAGGAACACCAGUGGCGAAGGCGGCUAUCUGGACCGAUACUGACGCUGAGGCGCGAAAGCGUGGGGAGCAAACAGGAUUAGAUACCCUGGUAGUCCACGCCGUAAACGAUGUCUGCUAGUCGUCGGCAGGCAUGCCUGUCGGUGACGCAGCUAACGCAUUAAGCACUCCGCCUGGGGAGUACGGCCGCAAGGUU